rnacentral:rRNA from 1 species
GACGAACGCUGGCGGCGUGCUUAACACAUGCAAGUCGAACGGUGAAGCGCUUUCCUUUUUGGUUGGUGUGGAUGAGUGGCGAACGGGUGAGUAACACGUGAGUAACCUGCCCCCUUCUUCUGGAUAACCGCAUGAAAGUGUGGCUAAUACGGGAUAUUCUGCGCCUGCUGCAUGGUGGGUGUGGGAAAGAUUGUGCCUUUGGGUGUUUUCGGUGGGGGAUGGGCUCGCGGCCUAUCAGCUUGUUGGUGGGGUGAUGGCCUACCAAGGCGGUGACGGGUAGCCGGCCUGAGAGGGUGGACGGUCACACUGGGACUGUGACACGGCCCAGACUCCUACGGGAGGCAGCAGUGGGGAAUAUUGCACAAUGGGCGCAAGCCUGAUGCAGCGACGCCGCGUGAGGGAUGGAGGCCUUCGGGUUGUGAACCUCUUUCGCCAGUGAAGCAGGCCUGCUCCUUGUGGGUGGGUUGACGGUAGCUGGAUAAGAAGCGCCGGCUAACUACGUG